rnacentral:misc_RNA from 1 species
CAAAGUGGGGCACCUGAAUUUCUACCGCUUCUCCACAUGUCACAAGAUUAGUAGCAGUGGUAGCAAAGCCGUAGUAUUUGACAAUUUGUGGAAGUCGUUCUAUUGUGUACCAGCGAUGUCUGCUGGGCUGGUGUGGGGUGGGAGCGGGAUGGAGCAAGGUCGUAUCUUGGAGGAGAAGAGUGGGGAGCUGGUGACCAGAACAUGGUUCACAAUAGUGGCCUCCAGAACCACAGCUGAUUCUACCAUCACCUGCUCCACUACCAACGCAUCCUUUUCCUCCGGCAUCAUGCACACUGUUUCCACAACGCUGAAAGUCAACUUGGUGCCACUUAUAGUACAACUGGAGGCCCCCGGGGAGUGGGUGAGCUCCGGUCAGCAGGCCUCCUUCAGGUGCCGCGUGGUGGGUUCCUCGCCGCCGCCAGUCGUGCAGUGGUGGUUGGGCGGCCGACGCCUCACUGCCAAUUCGCCGCUGACUUCAGUGGGCGGGAACGUGAGCGUGAGCACGGUGAGGUUGACGCCACAGCCUGGCGACCACAAGGUGCCGCUGGUGUGCAAGGCAUACAGCCCCAACCUGGCUGGCAGCGUCCUCCAGGACCAGCUCAUCCUCGCCGUCCACUUUGUGCCUGUCGCCACCGUGAGUGUGCAUGGUGGCGGGUCCGAGGCGGCUACCGUGCGAGAGGGCAGCACCGUCACCUUCACCUGUCACUUGCAGGCCAAUCCCUCCGUGUACAACAUCACCUGGUUCCAUAACGGGCGCGCGUUGCGGGGGUGGACGUGGGGAGUGGAGGUGAACAACGCCACCCUGCGGUUACUCAACGUGACGGCGGCCAUGAGAGGACUGUACACCUGCGUCGGCAGCAAUCCGGAGGGUGACGGCCAGAGCAACGCACUCAACCUGAACGUGGAGUUCAGUCCGGUAUGUGCUGUACAGAAACGUCGGCACUAUGUGGUGGCACCGGGCGAGCCUGUAACUGUAUCUUGCCAAGUGGAAGCUUACCCCACUGGCCUCACCUUUACCUGGGCCCUUAAGAACGACUCUGACAGCUCGCCAAUAUGGCUGCACAGCGUGGGGCGCGAGGAGGGGCUGACGGGCCACUACACCUUGAGGGGAGUGAAGCAGAAAAGUGUGGAAGUGUUGUGUUGGGCUCAGAAUGACGCCGGCAGCCAAAUUACGCCAUGCAAACUAACCGUCUACACUCACGGUCGGCCGGGCCCGGUGAGGAAUUGCAGCGUCAACAGCCACACGGCGUCUGGGUUCCGGGUGAUGUGCGAGGCGGGGCCGCCGCGGGGCAGCAACACUCACUAUUCCCUUCUGGUGUACACACAGAAGAGCAGAAGACUGAACACCAACGAAAUACAUGGCGGCAGGAGCCGCGGAAAGAAGGGUGGCGGCGGGCAUCCGACGGCAGGCCAAACACGCCUGGCUCUGGGCACCCUAAUGCGGAACCUGACCACCACCUUACCUGUCUUUAUAGUGAGCGGUCUGCGUGCUGGGCGGGAGUUUGUGUUAGUUGUGCGAGCAACCGGCGACGAGGGAUUGAGUCCGCCCGUCGUGCUCACAGCCUUCACACUCACCGAUAACGCACAGACUGUCAUUGGACUGCCGGCGGGGAUGGGGGACACCGGGAGCAGCGGCAUCGUUGGCGCGACACCUCUGAGCAGUAGCGACAGCAAUGGUGAGGACAAUGAAGGCAGCAGAGAUAUUAGCAGCAAAGGUGGCGGGGAAGACUUGUUUGCUUCUCCUGGCGAGACCGGAGUGGAAGCGGUGGCCAACGAGAUCAUGGGGAUGGUGUCGCCCUUAUUGCUAGUCCUGGGAACUUCAUUAAUCGCCCUCCUUCUCAUCGUUCUCAUUCUUGUCUUUCUGGUGAUAAAAUUUAACGCAAGAUCAAGACAGCAACGGCAAAAUCAAGCUAAGAAAUGUGCGGAAGUGACGCCUGAGGACAAGCAAGUGAGGUUGCCAGAAUCUUGUCAGAAAAGAGAGAGUCUGGCUGAAGAUGAGUCUGCCAUGGUUGAGGCAGCUGUAAUGAGCGGUGACGAGCAAGGUUUGCCUGAAGACGUUGGCAUCAAAGUGAGUGUCGAUGACAUAACCGCUUCAGCCAUUCCAGGUUUUCUGCCGGGGAAAGCAUACCCUAUGCAGGCCCUGUGACCUUGCUGGUGACCAGCACUUCAGAGGGAGAAGCAGCACACUGGUCGCCGGGAAGCAGUGCAACCCUGCCUAGAUCAGACCAGCAGUGGUCGGGUCGUAGUCCUGUCACGCGUAGUCGAUUACGAGGAUUACAUUCCAUCAACACUUCGCUGGGUUCUACCUCCAGUAUUUGCAUGGGGACCUCCCAGGGAGGCAAUGCUUGCCGGGGAACCCUGAGAUAUACGUCUCGGACUGGCAGUUUCAGUGGUGCCUGUGACCUGAGCCGCGUUGCGACAAGCGUCGGGACAACCAUGCUUUCUUCUGCACACCUAAGUGACAUCACCGCCGUUGGUCAGCACAGUUUGACCGUCGCUG